rnacentral:lncRNA from 10 species
GAAGAGGCUAUAAUUCAAACAAAUCUCUGCCAUAAUAGCUAUGGGAAUACUAAACAUUACUGGCCAAGUAAAUUGCUUUCUGUAUAAGCGUUCUCUUUUUUUUUUUUGAAGUUUGCCCCAGUGUGAAAGUCUCUCUAAGAUUGGUAACUAAUGGGUAAUACACAACAUUCCAAGAUAGAUUCUGGUAUCUUGAGCCAACAUAUCAGGAGAAUGGUACAGAAAAACUGAACAUUACCAGCCCCUCUACCUUAGCUAACUGCAAAAUGAACAACUUCCAAGGACUUGCUGCUACUCUCCCACAAAAUGAAAAGUCUAUGUAUCAAGAUGUAGAAUAGUACAGCUAAGCACAAGGCUCCUCCCCAGUCAAAGAGGAGCAGAGAGUGAAGAUCACUAUCAGUAAAAGCGCUGGCCUAGAGUUCCAUCACUAAACUGAUAUGUAACCCAAGGCAGGUCUUCUUUCUUUGAGUUUCAGUCUCAUCAUCUUUGAAGUGAGAAUAACAGAGCAUAAAAGUCAAACUUGAACCAA